rnacentral:tRNA from 1 species
GGGGAAGUAGCUCAGUGGUAGAGAACUUGCCUGGCAUGCGUGAGGCUCUGGGUUCAAUCCUCAGCAUCCCUC